GUCUAGGGUCAUGCUACCCUGAACAAGCCCAUUCCCGUCUGAUCUUGAAAGCUAAGCAGGGUCGGGCCUGGUUAGUACUUGGUUGGGAAACCACCUGGGGAGACCAGGUUCUGCAGGUG
rnacentral:rRNA from 1 species